ensembl:antisense AI507597 uncharacterized LOC110293620
GAAGCUGCCCAUCUCCAUGAGAGGGAUUCACUCUGAGGCCUUCAUGUCCCCACCUCUCUAGGUCCCCAGCCCUGACCACCCCCUUUCUCCAGAGCCCCCCCAUGGCCUGCCCAAAAGUCUAGGGCGAAUCAGGAGGGGACCGCGCUCCUGGCUGGGGCAGGUGUGGAAGGCCGGGGCUCACAUGGAUUUGUCCAUCCUGAUUCUCCUUCUGCUGUUACUGCUGCUGUUACUAGGUCGAUUAAGGCACGAAUACCGGCUAAGCACCACAGCUCACCCAAAAGGGAGAAAAAGAUACUCAGGAGAUCCAGCCAGCGGCCCACGGUCAUCAACAGAAGGAAGAGGCCACCCAUGCGCACCAGCACCGUCUGGACCUGGCCCUGUAGGCUGAAGCGAUGUUGCCGCUGCUCCUCUGUAGGACGCGGUUGUCACUGUCUCAGUCGGCACCUUCUGGAGAUCAGCUGGGGCCAGCCUGUUCCACUUCUCAGCUGCCUUCCCCCGGGAUCUUGUCAGCUUCCCUGACUGCCUUCCCACAGCCCUGCUUCCAUCUCUGGGCACCUACAGGACUUCUUACCCACCCUUAAGUUUCCCCCUGGUUGAGGACAGAGCCCUGCCAGUCGAUGGCAGGAAUCUAAGGUUCUCCCCCUUUCUGCCUGUCGGUCUGAAUCAUCGCAGCUCAGUCGGCUUCUGCCAGUCUCUCUCUUGUUCCAUCCUGGUCCCAGCCACCUUCCCCUCUUGCCGAAGCUCACUCAUCAAGGCACCUGAGUUUUAUUCCCGACCAAGCUCCACUGACCAUCUAAAGCGACCUAAACACACCAAUAAGAUGACACCAUCCCUCUGCUUUUAGAGAACACUAAUGGAAGUCUUGUUUUCCACAGUC